CGGACGGGUGAGUAACGCGUGAGAAUCUAGCUUUAGGUCGGGGACAACCACGGGAAACUGUGGCUAAUACCGGAUAUGCCGAGAGGUGAAAGGCUUGCUGCCUAAAGAUGAGCUCGCGUCUGAUUAGCUAGUAGGUGUGGUAAAAGCGCACCUAGGCGACGAUCAGUAGCUGGUCUGAGAGGAUGAUCAGCCACACUGGGACUGAGACACGGCCCAGACUCCUACGGGAGGCAGCAGUGGGGAAUUUUCCGCAAUGGGCGAAAGCCUGACGGAGCAAUACCGCGUGAGGGAGGAAGGCUCUUGGGUUGUAAACCUCUUUUCUCAGGGAAGAAAAAAAUGACGGUACCUGAGGAAUAAGCAUCGGCUAACUCCGUGCCAGCAGCCGCGGUAAUACGGAGGAUGCAAGCGUUAUCCGGAAUGAUUGGGCGUAAAGGGUCCGCAGGUGGCAAUGUAAGUCUGCUGUUAAAGAAUCUAGCUCAACUAGAUAAAAGCAGUGGAAACUACACAGCUAGAGUGCGUUCGGGGUAGAGGGAAUUCCUGGUGUAGCGGUGAAAUGCGUAGAUAUCAGGAAGAACACCAGUGGCGAAGGCGCUCUACUAGGCCGCAACUGACACUGAGGGACGAAAGCUAGGGGAGCGAAUGGGAUUAGAUACCCCAGUAGUC
rnacentral:rRNA from 1 species